AACGCGAAGAACCUUACCUGGGCUCGAAAUGUUAUGGACCGGAGUAGAAAUAUUCCUUCCCAGCAAUGGGCCGUAAUAUAGGUGCUGCAUGGCUGUCGUCAGCUCGUGUCGUGAGAUGUUGGGUUAAGUCCCGCAACGAGCGCAACCCUUAUCCCUAGUUGCCAUCGGGUCAAGCCGGGCACUCUAGUGAAACCGCCCAGGAUAACUGGGAGGAAGGUGGGGAUGACGUCAAGUCCUCAUGGCCUUUAUGUCCAGGGCUACACACGUGCUACAAUGGUCGGUACAAACCGUCGCAAACUCGCGAGAGGGAGCUAAUCGGAAAAAGCCGGCCUCAGUUCGGAUUGGAGUCUGCAACCCGACUCCAUGAAGCUGGAAUCGCUAGUAAUCGCGGAUCAGAACGCCGCGGUGAAUACGUUCCCGGGCCUUGUACACACCGAGACGUA
rnacentral:rRNA from 1 species